GACGAACGCUGGCGGCGUGCCUAAUACAUGCAAGUUGAGCGAUGAAGAUUGGUGCUUGCACCAAUUUGAAGAGCAGCGAACGGGUGAGUAACGCGUGGGGAAUCUGCCUUUGAGCGGGGGACAACAUUUGGAAACGAAUGCUAAUACCGCAUAACAACUUUAAACAUAAGUUUUAAGUUUGAAAGAUGCAAUUGCAUCACUCAAAGAUGAUCCCGCGUUGUAUUAGCUAGUUGGUGAGGUAAAGGCUCACCAAGGCGAUGAUACAUAGCCGACCUGAGAGGGUGAUCGGCAACAUUGGGACUGAGACACGGCCCAAACUCCUACGGGAGGCAGCAGUAGGGAAUCUUCGGCAAUGGACGAAAGUCUGACCGAGCAACGCCGCGUGAAUGAAGAAGGUUGUCGGAUCGUAAAACUCUGUUGGUAGAGAAGAACGUUGGUGAGAGUGGAAAGCUCAUCAAGUGACGGUAACUACACAGAAAGGGACGGCUAACUACGUG
rnacentral:rRNA from 1 species